rnacentral:rRNA from 1 species
GAUGAACGCUGGCGGCGUGCCUAAUACAUGCAAGUCGAGCGAAUGACGAGGAGCUUGCUCCUCUGAUUUAGCGGCGGACGGGUGAGUAACACGUGGGUAACCUGCCUGUAAGACGGGGAUAACUCCGGGAAACCGGAGCUAAUACCGGAUGAUAACGAGAAGCGCCUGCUUCUUUUUUGAAAGUCGGUUUCGGCUGACGCUUACAGAUGGGCCCGCGGCGCAUUAGCUAGUUGGUGAGGUAACGGCUCACCAAGGCGAGGAUGCGUAGCCGACCUGAGAGGGGGAUCGGCCACACUGGGACUGAGACACGGCCCAGACUCCUACGGGAGGCAGCAGUAGGGAAUCUUCGGCAAUGGACGAAAGUCUGACCGAGCAACGCCGCGUGAGCGAUGAAGGCCUUCGGGUCGUAAAGCUCUGUUGUCAGAGGAGAACAAGUACCGGAGUAACUGCCGGUACCUUGACGGUACCUGACCAGAAAGCCACGGCUAACUACGUGCCAGCCGCCGCAGUAACAC